rnacentral:lncRNA from 1 species
CACCGUUAGAUGACCCUUUGAAUCUUGCCGGUUAUACAUCCAAGUUCGAUCAUCAUCGGUCAUUCUAAGAAUUUUAAACCAAUACAAUUAGUUUUUAAACCAAUACAAUUUUAAAGCUAAGGAUUUUCCCAUGGAAUUAAUAAAAUAUCCAAUAAAACAACAUGGGAAUUAAUAUAAGUAUAUCUAUUAUAAGAUUUCCAAAUAACAGAGAAAUCUUUGGGGAAAAUAUGUAUAUGUGCUAUUUGAGAAAUCUUCCAAAUAACUGAAUACGUAUUGUAUUGGGGAAAUUAUUGUAUUUUUUACUAGAUUAAUACUGAAUACGUACUGAUCAUAAAAAUAUAUUGAUCUACAGACCAAAAAAAAUCAGAUCUAUUCCACUGUAAUAGACUAACUGUAAUCUAAGAUCAAGUGAUAACAUGUUUGAAUAUCUAUAUUUCAGUACACUUAGAAAUAAGGGUAGCAAUUCAGUACUACUAUGAAUUUCAGUAUUUAUGAAAAAUUUGAGUGGGCACAUUUCUUAAUAUUGAAUUAUUGAUUUUAAGUAAGAUGUGAAAACAAGAAAAAGACUGAGAGUCAUGUUGAAACUAAUGCAUAUAGACUGUGGGCAAGAUACUUCAAAUGCAUAUAGAUUAUAUUAUAAAGACAUGUUGAAACUUGAAACUAAAAUUUAUUUACAAAUUAUCUCGAUAUGAAACUCUUGAAAUACCUAUCAUUAAAUGGGGAAAAAUAGGCGCAAAGAAAAUAUCCUUAUCUCACCUUUUGCAGAUUUGAUUUGAUUAAGAAGAUAUUCUCUUUCUUGCGGAUCAAGUAGCAACUGCUGGGCCUUUGCCAAUGCUGCCAUUGUCAAUAUGAUUAAUGAGCUACAUCAUAUUUAUUUAUAAAUAAUUAUUUCUAAAC